rnacentral:rRNA from 1 species
AGGACGAACGCUGGCGGCGUGCCUAACACAUGCAAGUCGAACGCGCUCCAUUCGGUAGCAAUACUGAUGAAGAGCGAGUGGCGAACGGGUGAGUAGCACGUGAGCAACCUGCCCCGAAGACUGGGACAACACCGGGAAACCGGUGCUAAUACCGGAUAUCCCUAUUGGAUCGCAUGAUCCGAUAAGGAAAUGUUUUUCGCUUCGGGAGGGGCUCGCGGCCUAUCAGCUAGUUGGUGGGGUAACGGCCCACCAAGGCAUCGACGGGUAGCUGGUCUGAGAGGACGAUCAGCCACACUGGGACUGAGACACGGCCCAGACUCCUACGGGAGGCAGCAGUGGGGAAUCUUGCGCAAUGGGCGAAAGCCUGACGCAGCAACGCCGCGUGGAGGACGAAGGCUUUCUGAGUUGUAAACUCCUUUCAGCAGGGACGAUUGUGACGGUACCUGCAGAAGAGCACCGCAACUACGUGCCAGCAGCCG